AUACGUAGGGGGUUAGCGUUGUCCGGAUUUACUGGGUGUAAAGGGCGCGUAGGCGGGUCUGUAAGUCAGAGGUGAAAUCCUACAGCUUAACUGUAGAGCUGCCUUUGAUACUGCGGAUCUUGAGUUCAGAAGAGAGAGAUGGAAUUCCAGGUGUAGUGGUGAAAUACGUAGAUAUCUGGAAGAACACCAGUGGCGAAGGCGAUCUCUUGGUCUGACACUGACGCUGAGGCGCGAAAGCGUGGGUAGCAAACAGGAUUAGAUACCCUGGUAGUCCACGCUGUAAACGAUGAAUACUAGAUGUUGGGCAGAAAUGUUCAGUGUCGCAGCUAACGCAUUAAGUAUUCCACCUGGGGAGUACGAUCGCAAGGUUGA
rnacentral:rRNA from 1 species